rnacentral:rRNA from 1 species
AAAAUCCCUGGUCGCCGUAAACCCAAGGUUUCCUGGGGAAGGUUCGUCCUCCCAGGGCUAGCCGGAUCCUAAGUCGAGGCCGAUGGGCGUAGACGAUGGAAAGCAGGUCAAUAUUCCUGCGCCGCCGACAUUUUAGCUGAAUGGACGCUGGUUGGGAGAACAGUCACCGAAUGAAAGUGGUGGUCCCGCAAGGGGACGUGGAGGCUUCGGCCGAAGCGGAUUGUUUGAACAGCCAGCCGAGAAAAGAUUCAGUGUAUACUAAGGCGUCCGUACCGUAAACCGACACAGGUGGGUGGGCAUAAGUGUGCCAAGGCGCGUGAGUGAAACCUAGUUAAGGAACUCUGCAAUCUAGCCCCGUAACUUCGGAAGAAGGGGUGCCCAGCAAUGGGUCGCAGUGAAAUGGGUCAACCGACUGUUUAACAAAAACACAGCACUCUGCUAAGUCGUAAGACGACGUAUAGGGUGUGACACGUGACCAAUGCCGAAAGAUUACGGUAAGAGGUUAGCCGCAAGGCGAAGCUUUGAGCCCAAGUCCCGGUGAAUGUCGGCCGUAACAAUAACGGUCCUAAGGUAGCGAAAUUCCUUGUCGGGUAAGUUCCGACCUGCACGAAUCGUGUAACGAGUUGACCGCUGUCUCAACGAGGAGCUCAGCGAAGUUGUAUUGGCGGUGAAGAUGCCGCCUGCCCGCAGUAGGACGGAAAGACCCUAUGCACCUUUACUGUACGCUGUCACUGUUGUUUCGAUUUUAAUGCUUAGCGUAAGUGGUAGGCUUUGAUUCAUUCCUUUAGGGGGAUGAUGAGCCGACAAUGAAACACCACCCUUUGAAAUUGAGACAUCUAACCGCGACCCAUGAUCUGGGCGCGAGACACUGGCAGCCGGUCAGUUUCACUGGGGCGGUGUCCUCCCAAAAAGUAACGGAGGAUUACGAAGGUUGGCUCAACCUGGUUGGCAAUCAGGUGACGAGUAUAUGGAUAUAAGCCAGCUUAACUGCGAGACCUACAAGUCGAGCAGAUACGAAAGUAGGUCCAAGUGAUCCGGUAGUUUAAUAUGGAAUUGCUAUCGCUCAAAGGACAAAAGGUACGCUAGGGAUAACAGGCUGAUCCUGCCCAAGAGCUCAUAUCGACGGCAGGGUUUGGCACCUCGAUGUCGGCUCAUCACAUCCUGGGGCUGGAGAAGGUCCCAAGGGUCCGGCUGUUCGCCGGUUAAAGUGGUACGCGAGCUGGGUUCAGAACGUCGCGAGACAGUUCGGUCCUUAUCCACUGUGGGCGCAGGAGAUUUGAGGGGUUCAUUCCUUAGUACGAGAGGACCGGGAAUGACGAACCACUGGUGUUCCAGUUGUCGUGUCAACGGCAGUGCUGGGUAGCUACGUUCGGAAAGGAUAAGCGCUGAAAGCAUCUAAGCGCCAAGCCUAUCCCAAGAUGAGAUCUCCCUGAAGAACCGUGGUAGACCACCACGUUGAUAGGAUCCGGGUAUAAGCGCAGUAAUGUGUUCAGCUCAGGAUUACUAAUGUUCGUUCGGCU